CCUAGCACCUCAAUACCACCUCUAAUAGCGGAAAUGCAUACAUACAGCGAACUCUCCAACUUCAAAGCCAACCUCAGCAAAUGUGAGAUUUUACCCAUACACAUACAUCCUCAGGAGAAAUAUAAAAUACAAAAUGAACAUCAAUUCACGUGGGCCCCCCACCAUAUCAAAUAUCUAGGAAUUCACAUCACCAAAGACGCGUCUCUCUUAUUUUACAGUAAUUUCC